rnacentral:lncRNA from 1 species
AAACAUACAAGGUUAAGAUAUUGUCUUAAAGGUGGACAAUUUAUAAGCUUUGUAUUCCAAUAAUAUCUCUUGCUAAGUAGGAUAAUCUAACAAUUAUAAGAUCAAAUUAUGAAAAAAAAUUGUAAAAGAAAAUCCUAACAAAAAUUGAUAAUAUUCAUUAAUGAUUCCAGAUGUAAAAAAAAUAUUUAAAAAUUUUGAAAAAUAGAAGAAAUUUGAUUAGAAAUUAGACCUUAUGUAAG